rnacentral:rRNA from 1 species
GAUGAACGCUGGCGGCGUGCCUAAUACAUGCAAGUCGAGCGAACAGACGAGGAGCUUGCUCCUCUGACGUUAGCGGCGGACGGGUGAGUAACACGUGGAUAACCUACCUAUAAGACUGGGAUAACUUCGGGAAACCGGGGCUAAUACCGGAUAAUAUAUUGAACCGCAUGGUUCAAUAGUGAAAGACGGCUUUGCUGUCACCUAUAGAUGGAUCCGCGCCGCAUUAGCUAGUUGGUAAGGUAACGGCUUACCAAGGCGACGAUGCGUAGCCGACCUGAGAGGGUGAUCGGCCACACUGGAACUGAGACACGGUCCAGACUCCUACGGGAGGCAGCAGUAGGGAAUCUUCCGCAAUGGGCGAAAGCCUGACGGAGCAACGCCGCGUGAGUGAUGAAGGUCUUCGGAUCGUAAAACUCUGUUAUUAGGGAAGAACAAAUGUGUAAGUAACUAUGCACGUCUUGACGGUACCUAAUCAGAAAGCCACGGCUAACUACGUG